rnacentral:rRNA from 1 species
GACGAACGCUGGCGGCGUGCCUAAUACAUGCAAGUCGAACGAACUCUGGUAUUGAUUGGUGCUUGCAUCAUGAUUUACAUUUGAGUGAGUGGCGAACUGGUGAGUAACACGUGGGAAACCUGCCCAGAAGCGGGGGAUAACACCUGGAAACAGAUGCUAAUACCGCAUAACAACUUGGACCGCAUGGUCCGAGUUUGAAAGAUGGCUUCGGCUAUCACUUUUGGAUGGUCCCGCGGCGUAUUAGCUAGAUGGUGGGGUAACGGCUCACCAUGGCAAUGAUACGUAGCCGACCUGAGAGGGUAAUCGGCCACAUUGGGACUGAGACACGGCCCAAACUCCUACGGGAGGCAGCAGUAGGGAAUCUUCCACAAUGGACGAAAGUCUGAUGGAGCAACGCCGCGUGAGUGAAGAAGGGUUUCGGCUCGUAAAACUCUGUUGUUAAAGAAGAACAUAUCUGAGAGUAACUGUUCAGGUAUUGACGGUAUUUAACCAGAAAGCCACGGCUAACUACGUGCCAGCAGCCGCGGUAAUACGUAGGUGGCAAGCGUUGUCCGGAUUUAUUGGGCGUAAAGCGAGCGCAGGCGGUUUUUUAAGUCUGAUGUGAAAGCCUUCGGCUCAACCGAAGAAGUGCAUCGGAAACUGGGAAACUUGAGUGCAGAAGAGGACAGUGGAACUCCAUGUGUAGCGGUGAAAUGCGUAGAUAUAUGGAAGAACACCAGUGGCGAAGGCGGCUGUCUGGUCUGUAACUGACGCUGAGGCUCGAAAGUAUGGGUAGCAAACAGGAUUAGAUACCCUGGUAGUCCAUACCGUAAACGAUGAAUGCUAAGUGUUGGAGGGUUUCCGCCCUUCAGUGCUGCAGCUAACGCAUUAAGCAUUCCGCCUGGGGAGUACGGCCGCAAGGCUGAAACUCAAAGGAAUUGACGGGGGCCCGCACAAGCGGUGGAGCAUGUGGUUUAAUUCGAAGCUACGCGAAGAACCUUACCAGGUCUUGACAUACUAUGCAAAUCUAAGAGAUUAGACGUUCCCUUCGGGGACAUGGAUACAGGUGGUGCAUGGUUGUCGUCAGCUCGUGUCGUGAGAUGUUGGGUUAAGUCCCGCAACGAGCGCAACCCUUAUUAUCAGUUGCCAGCAUUAAGUUGGGCACUCUGGUGAGACUGCCGGUGACAAACCGGAGGAAGGUGGGGAUGACGUCAAAUCAUCAUGCCCCUUAUGACCUGGGCUACACACGUGCUACAAUGGAUGGUACAACGAGUUGCGAACUCGCGAGAGUAAGCUAAUCUCUUAAAGCCAUUCACAGUUCGGAUUGUAGGCUGCAACUCGCCCACAUGAAGUCGGAAUCGCUAGUAAUCGCGGAUCAGCAUGCCGCGGUGAAUACGUUCCCGGGCCUUGUACACACCGCCCGUCACACCAUGAGAGUUUGUAACACCCAAAGUCGGUGGGGUAACCUUUUAGGAACCAGCCGCCUAAGGUGGGACAGAUGAUUAGGGU